AGCAUCGUCACCAACGAACGUCAUCCCAGCGCAAAUGAAGCGUUGUUUUUGCAGUUAUUGAUUUCACUUGUGUGGAUUGCAGACGCUAUCUAGAAAGAUAGACACAAUGGUCUAAAUUGUGCUACAGGCUUGAGAAAGAUGAGGGCUUACAUAGCUUUACAGCACAUGAUGUGAAUGCAAAUAUGUCGAUAUAUUGUCGAUUGAUGUUCCCAACACAGAAGAAAAGUUAAAAAUGGCAGUUUUGAUUAUUUCAAAAACUCUUGCAAUUGAAAUAUUUCCCGAGAUGUGCGAUGCCAUGAUGGCUAACAUCACGGUCGCCUACACACAA
rnacentral:lncRNA from 1 species